rnacentral:pre_miRNA from 1 species
CGGGGGAGGCCGGAUCCUGGGCUGUGUCCCGGCGCCCUGUGCUCCGGAGCCUGCGCUGUUGGAUUCGCGCUCCCGCCCCGCAGCCCUCU